rnacentral:rRNA from 1 species
UACGUAGGUGGCAAGCGUUGUCCGGAUUUAUUGGGUUUAAAGGGUGCGUAGGCGGUCCUAUAAGUCAGUGCUGAAAUAUCCCGGCUUAACCGGGAGGGUGGCAUUGAUACUGCAGGACUGAGUAAAGUUGAGGUAGGCGGAAUUGACGGUGUAGCGGUGAAAUGCUUAGAUAUCGUCAAGAACACCGAUAGUAAAGACAGCUUACUAAACUUUAACUGACGCUGAGGCACGAAAAGUGUGGGGAUCAAACAGG